CUACGUAGGGGGCGAGCGUUGUCCGGAAUGACUGGGCGUAAAGGGCGUGUAGGCGGCGGUGUAAGUCUGGAGUGAAAGUCCCGCAUUCAAUGUGGGAAUUGCUUUGGAUACUGCAGUGCUAGAGUGCGGAAGAGGUAAGUGGAAUUCCCAGUGUAGCGGUGAAAUGCGUAGAGAUCGGGAGGAACACCAGUGGCGAAGGCGGGUAACUGGACUGCAACUGACGCUGAGGCGCGAAAGUGUGGGGAGCAAACAGGAUUAGAUACCCUGGUAGUCCACACUGUAAACGAUGAAUGCUAGGUGUAGGAGGUAUCGACCCCUUCUGUGCCGCAGUAAACACAGUAAGCAUUCCGCCUGGGGAGUACGGCCGCAAGGUUGAAACUCAAAGGAAUUGACGGGG
rnacentral:rRNA from 1 species